GAUGAACGCUAGCGGCAGGCCUAAUACAUGCAAGUCGGACGGGAUUCAGGAGCUUGCUUCUGAUGAGAGUGGCGCACGGGUGCGUAACACGUAUGUAACCUACCUUUAUCAGGGGGAUAGCCUCUCGAAAGAGAGAUUAAGCCCGCAUAAAAUCACAGCACAGCAUUGUGUAAUGAUCAAAUAUUUAUAGGAUAAAGAUGGGCAUGCGGAACAUUAGCUAGAUGGCGGGGUAACGGCCCACCAUGGCGACGAUGUUUAGGGGAUCUGAGAGGAUGGCCCCCCACACUGGUACUGAGACACGGACCAGACUCCUACGGGAGGCAGCAGUAAGGAAUAUUGGUCAAUGGGCGGAAGCCUGAACCAGCCAUGCCGCGUGCAGGAAGACGGCCCUACGGGUUGUGAACUGCUUUUAUACGGGAAUAAACCCAGAUACGUGUAUCUGGCUGAAUGUACUGUAAGAAUAAGGAUCGGCUAACUCCGUG
rnacentral:rRNA from 1 species